AUGCCUCUGUCCAAAACUUCUGGGAAAGAAGUAGCCACGUGCAAACCAGGGCUGGGCACCCACCACAUGCAAGGUGCCCUUGACCUGGCGGAUGGAGAGACACAUGCGUCUGGCCUCAUGGGUCAUCCACUCAUCAGCGCUUCCUGGGCCAAGGAUGCUGGUCAUGCCCAGGCUCUAGGAAUCCCACCUUGGAAGCAGCAGAGACCCCGGGAGAAGCUUGUCAUGGUGGGAGGGGCUGAGCUGCCGUGGGAACGCAUGGAGGGUUCCAGGGUGUGGAGAGGGAGGCUCUGAGGAGCUGGGCUGUGUGCUGGGGGUGGGGGGAGGGUGUCUGAUACACCUGCCCAGCAGGUGUCAAAUCCUCUUGACCAUCCAGAUCCGGCCAGGACUUCCCCAUCUGUAGUAUUUUCCUCAUUCCUAUUUAUCCUUAAGCUAAUUGUCUCUGUAAUUUGGGGCAGGUCUCUUAAUUUCUAUUGCUUUUCCAUUUAUUAAAUGGGAUAUUAUGAAUAUCAGAUCAGCUAAUGAACAGACAGGGCACGCAUCCAAGAUUACACAACGACUGAUGGGAGAGCAAAAAGAAGUAUCUAGCUUUGGCAGCGACGUCGGGGUGCUUUUCAAACAACACUGGAGAGGAAGAAACUUUUAACCAUCUGGAAGCCAGCCACGGAGACAAAGCCCCGUGCAGACUUCAUGGGAGCCAUCUGUAAAUGGGUGACAUCAGGGCCACACCCCUGGAAAUAUAAACUCAUGGAGGGUCAAGAAAGUGAGUUCUCCUCAUUCCCUGACUUCUGAGUGGUCAAAGAAGGUUUCGUGCUCAAUUUAUAAACGAUGCCCCUGCCUCAAGAAGGCAUCCGUAGCUGACAAAUACUUCCCUUCUUUACCCGAUGGCGACACAGAUCAACGAAGCACUGAAGGCAUUUGAUCAUUUGGAAAAAGCACAAGAUAGGUGCCGCAUCUCCAGUAGAAUUGUUAACAUAAAUUAUGCGUUUCUGCCAUUCAGGGCACAGCUCAAGGCAGGGUAACCUGUGCGGCUCCCUGGGUCCCUCCAGCAGCCCUGGGAGAUGGGAACUGGUAUGAAAUGGACACGGGUUUUGUCUAUUUCACAGACGAGAAAAACGCGGCUCAGGGAAGUUAAUAACUCGCCCCAUGUCACACAGGCCUGUGGCUGUACAGGUGAUACUGUGCACUUCUCUCUCCUCGAUGCUAGGUGAUGCUCAGCUUGACCCGCAUUUGGCCCCCCCGGGGUCUGCCAAGCUGCCAAGCUGGGAUCUUGCCUGGAAGAUAAAGUGCAAACUCUGUGUGGAAUGUUCUACCCAGCCGACCUCCCCACCCCUACUGACCCCUUCCCACUCUAUGCCCUUCUGCUGGUGCCAGGAAAAUGCACUGCAAACCCGAUCUGCUACAUUCUAGUUCUCUGACCUUGAACGAGUUACCGUCACCUCUGGGCCUCUGUGUCCUUAUCUGCAGGCUUAGGGGAAGAAACUCUUCCUUCACAAGGGUCUUAGGAGGGACGCUGCACAUUGUGUGGGAAACGCAUCAAUGCCAGGAACAUAGACGAGUUCAGUUAAUGCCCAUUUUCUUCCCUUCCGCCUUCUGAACUUCUGAACUUCAGCUGAGAUCAGUUUGCAACAUGAACCAGGCGCCGCCCAGCAGAUACCUCCUGUCCCUCCCUCACUUUGCAAGAGCCUGGGGAGGGAGCACGCUGUGUUAUAUUUAUCACAGUAUGUGUCUCUCCUCCCGCUGGGUUAUGCGAGGGGGGAGCUUUUGGGUCCACCUGUUCCUAAGUGCCCUGGGCGCCGCUCAGGGUCUCGGACAAGGGCAGGGGCUUCGCGGAUAAAUGCCUGUUGCAUAAACCAGGGAACAACGCAAUCCUGUCUUUUCGGGUGCAUAGCAGGAGCGCAGUACUGACUUGGCAACUUAGGAUUUGACUUGGUUAGACCUGUGUGUGCCUGUUUGGAUCUCCAAGGGAACACAGCGGAGAGGGAUUAUCUUCUAGCCUUUCUGCGCGCCGCUCAAUUCAGCCAGCAUUUUCCCCCGCAAUAAACACAGAAGUGGGGAAAAGGCA
rnacentral:lncRNA from 1 species